AGCGGGUCGCCGCGUGCCGGCCG
rnacentral:siRNA from 1 species